rnacentral:tRNA from 1 species
GGGGUUGUGGCUCAGUGGUAGAGUGCUCACCUAGCAUGUGCAAGGCCCUGGGUUCGAUCUUCAGCACCACA